rnacentral:rRNA from 1 species
AAACUUUACAAUGCGGGAAACCGUGAUAAGGGAACUCCGAGUGCCCGUUAAAUCGGGCUGUCCAUCAGUUUAAAAACUGGUGAAGAAAGGGCCGGGCAAGACCGGUGCCAGCCGCCGCGGUAAUACCGGCGGCUCGAAUGGUGGCCACUAUUACUGGGCUUAAAGCGUUCGUAGCUGGUUUGUUAAGUCUCUGGGGAAAUCUUCCGGCUUAACCGGAAGGCGUCUCAGGGAUACUGGCAGACUAGGGACCGGAAGAGGUGAGGGGUACUCCAGGGGUAGGAGUGAAA